rnacentral:ncRNA from 1 species
CAUUUAGCGCCAGAACACUUUAUAGUGUUGACGAGGUCUAGAGUUAUCGAAUUUUCGGCGGAUGCUCUAGUGGCUUUAGCUUAAGUCAUAGUGUUAAUUAAAAAUCAAUAGUAAUAUUGUAACAGAGUUUAACAUA